rnacentral:tRNA from 1 species
GCCUGGCUGGCUCAGUUGAAGAGCAUGUGACUCUUGAUCUCCAGGUUGUGAGUUCAAGCCCCACAUUGGGUG